UUUCGCAUCUUUAGAAUUUCUCUCUUUCGUAUCUUCAGAAGAGAACAACUGAUAUCGUAUCGAUCAAAAUCAAUUAAACCGUCGAUCGACAGCCUUAAUAGGGUUUUCUUUUCCAAUUUCAAUUGAACGGAUUAUUGUCACAAAUUUGUUUGAUUUAAUCAAUUGAAGUUUCAGAUUACCAUCACAUAUAUCUAUGGUUUCAAUUCACAUGAUUAAACAAUUCUCCCCAAAUCAAAGUUCUUCAGAAAAUAUAAUGGAAGUGAUGGAUGUGAUGGUACUCAUGUGAGGACGAAGAAGAAGCAAAAUAAAAGCAAGAUAAAGAAAGAGAGUUAACAGUUCCCAAAGUUGUUGAUUAAAUGGAAUGGAUCUUCAAUGCACGACAGUCCAUGAUGAUGGUGAUUAGUAUAUUAGCAAUGAUGAAUCUCCACCGAUGCCCCAAUUCUCCUAGCUAGCUGGACUUCGUCAGUUGAUUAGUACCUCCAACAAAGGGCAGUCAACAAUCUGAUUACCGAAGAGGCCCAAAGUUAUUGAAGAAGCACGACUUCAGGAGUUGAUGGACAUGAGAAGUGGAGGAGGGAAAGGCAAUAUCUGCAUGAAAUGGACUCACAAUGCAUUGUACAACAAAUGAAAGUUUUAAGGACCCGAUAUGAAAGAGAAGCAAACCAAUUAAAGAAAGAAAAACAACGUCGAUGUGAAAUCGCAUUUUCUUUUCAAAAUUUUUGUG